AGACCCGAAACCCGGUGAUCUAGCCAUGGGCAGGUUGAAGGUUGGGUAACACUAACUGGAGGACCGAACCGACUAAUGUUGAAAAAUUAGCGGAUGACCUGUGGCUGGGGGUGAAAGGCCAAUCAAACCGGGAGAUAGCUGGUUCUCCCCGAAAGCUAUUUAGGUAGCGCCUCGUGAAUUCAUCUCCGGGGGUAGAGCACUGUUUCGGCUAGGGGGCCAUCCCGGCUUACCAACCCGAUGCAAACUGCGAAUACCGGAGAAUGUUAUCACGGGAGACACACGGCGGGUGCUAACGUCCGUCGUGAAGAGGGAAACAACCCAGACCGCCAGCUAAGGUCCCAAAGUCAUGGUUAAGUGGGAAACGAUGUGGGAAGGCCCAGACAGCCAGGAUGUUGGCUUAGAAGCAGCCAUCAUUUAAAGAAAGCGUAAUAGCUCACUGGUCGAGUCGGCCUGCGCGGAAGAUGUAACGGGGCUAAACCAUGCACCGAAGCUGCGGCAGCGACACUCAGGUGUUGUUGGGUAGGGGAGCGUUCUGUAAGCCUGUGAAGGUGGCCUGUGAGGGUUGCUGGAGGUAUCAGAAGUGCGA
rnacentral:rRNA from 1 species